rnacentral:sRNA from 1 species
AUCUUUUGGGUCCGGGAGGAUUGAGUCAUCGGGCUCCAAUGCGUGGGGAUGUUUACCGCCGUUUAUCCGGGAUAGAGACUCCAUCGUGCUAACUGACAGUAUCCUUUUAUUCACCGCCUCCGAAUUUGCAAAGAGGAGGAAGGAGGGACUUCUUGGCUUCUCCCAGCAUAGCCCCAGGAGGCUGUGACAUUCAAGGAUGUGGCUGUGGUCUUCUCCAGGGAGGAACUGCGACUGCUGGAUCUUACCCAGAGGAAGCUGUACCGAGAUGUCAUGGUGGAGAACUUCAAGAACCUGGUUGCAGUGGGUGAGGACAGGCACUCUCUGACCCUGAACUUCAAUUCCCUUGAGAAUCUCUUUGCUCUCAGGUGUUUAAGGGUUUGGACCUUUUAAAAUGGUUCUUUGCUCUUGAAGACGAAAGGUUUUCUAAUCCCUGGGAAAACAGGAUAGGUUUUUCUGGUCUUUCUGCUCAGGCAAAAUUCUGUCCUUUUAAAUUGCUGGUUCUCAACCAUGGGUGAUUUCGUCCCCAGAAGAUAUUUGGCAAUGUCUGGAAAUGGUUGUCACACCUGACAGAGGGGUGCUAUUGGCAUUUUGUGGGUAGUAUCCAGGAAUUCUGCAAAAUCUCCUACAGUGCACAGGACAGUGCCCCCAACAGAGAAUUGGCCAGUCCAAAAUAGUAGUGCUGCAGUUGCAAAACCCUGUUUUAAAUGAACCGUAAAUGGACACAUUAGCUUCUGUGCUUUAUCUUUCAAAUACGUUGUCUUUCAAAUGAAACCCAUCAAUGCAUUAACUUAGUGCACUGUAUUGGCUUUUUUUUCAAUGAAAUAAAACAGAUAAGGAUAGAAAAUAUCAG